rnacentral:rRNA from 1 species
AACGCGAAGAACCUUACCAACCCUUGACAUUGGGAGUAUGGAUUCCAGAGAUGGAUUCCUUCAGUUCGGCUGGCUCCUAAACAGGUGCUGCAUGGCUGUCGUCAGCUCGUGUCGUGAGAUGUUGGGUUAAGUCCCGCAACGAGCGCAACCCUCAUCUUCAGUUGCCAUCAGUUAGGCUGGGCACUCUGAAGAAACUGCCGGUGACAAGCCGGAGGAAGGUGGGGAUGACGUCAAGUCCUCAUGGCCCUUACGGGUUGGGCUACACACGUGCUACAAUGGCGGUGACAAUGGGUUGCAAGCCUGCAAGGGUGAGCUAAUCUCAAAAAGCCGUCUCAGUUCGGAUUGCACUCUGCAACUCGAGUGCAUGAAGUCGGAAUCGCUAGUAAUCGUGGAUCAGCACGCCACGGUGAAUACGUUCCCGGGCCUUGUACACACCGCUAGUC